UACGGAGGGUGCAAGCGUUGUCCGGAAUCACUGGGCGUAAAGGGCGCGUAGGCGGCUCAUGAAGGCUGUGGUGAAAGUCCGGGGCUCAACCUCGGAUCGGCCGUGGCGACUCGUGGGCUGGAGCACAGUAGAGGCGGGUGGAAUUCCGGGUGUAGCGGUGGAAUGCGUAGAGAUCCGGAAGAACACCGGUGGCGAAGGCGGCCCGCUGGGCUGUUGCUGACGCUGAGGCGCGACAGCAUGGGGAGCAAACAGG
rnacentral:rRNA from 1 species